GAUGAACGCUAACUAUAGGCUUAACACAUGCAAGUCGAGGGGCAGCGAAUAGAUAGCUUGCUAUUUAUGUCGGCGACCGGCGCACGGGUGAGUAACGCGUAUCCAACCUGCCCAUAACUAAGGGAUAACCCAGCGAAGGUUAGACUAAUACCUUAUGUAUUCGUUUGAUCUCAUGAGAUUACGAAUAAAGAUUUAUCGGUUAUGGAUGGGGAUGCGUCUGAUUAGCUUGUUGGCGGGGUAACGGCCCACCAAGGCAACGAUCAGUAGGGGUUCCGAGAGGAAGGUCCCCCACAUUGGAACUGAGACACGGUCCAAACUCCUACGGGAGGCAGCAGUGAGGAAUAUUGGUCAAUGGACGCAAGUCUGAACCAGCCAAGUAGCGUGCAGGAUGACGGCCCUAUGGGUUGUAAACUGCUUUUAUAUGGGGAUAAAGUGGGGAACGUGUUCCCUUUUGCAGGUACCAUAUGAAUAAGGACCGGCUAAUUCCGUGCCAGCCGCCGCGGUAAAAGGG
rnacentral:rRNA from 1 species